UCCAAAAAAAGAUGUAAAGAUCAAGCGCUCAGCAUGUGGAAAAUUGUAUCUUCACGGGGAGGACAGUGGAGCAUCCCAAGGCCGAGCAGAUUCAGUUAUUUCCCAAGCUAAGUACAACUUAUCUGAAAAGACAAGUCCAGUGCCUCCUCCUCUGUAGAAACAAUCAGCUCAGAGUCAAAUGCAUGAAGGAAUGUUUCCUUGGGUAUCCACAUGUCACUUAGAUCCCCUGGGUUCGUUUGGAUUGACAGUUUCUACUGUACGGAGCAGGCUUUGGUUUGUCUUGUGCGAUGAGAACACCACUGACUGAGUCACUCUCAUCUGUAUACAAAGGAAGGAAUGACCCUGAGUUAUGAAACAUGGAAGGGAAGGAGUCUGACUUUUGCCCACCCACGUUGGACUAUGGUAUACAUGAAGAAUAAAAUUCUAUUGUAUGCA